GCCUCCUCUCUGAGUCAUUUCCCCUUCCCCGCCCUAAAGACCUUGGCUUUCUCUAUGAAUCCCUUCCCUCUGGCAGGAAGCAGAGGAAGGAAAAACUGGCUUUGAGAACAAGGUGAGCGCUUUGCCCAGCGAAGAUGAGCAACGCGUCCCGCCCUCGCCUCUCCAUUCGGAGGGACAGGAAAUCGAAAGAGUUCCCUCCCGCAGAGCGGCUGUGUUCCUUAUCGUCUGAAGUCCCGGUGGCCAAGCGUGGGAGGUGCCACACCCCGCCCGGUGUCUCCUGGGAUGUGAGGAGGAAAGUGGCAGCCCGGCACACCUGGGUUUGCUGUCUUCAGACAAAGCCCACCAAGUCCAUCCUAUAAAGUCACACACGUGAGUUGGUGUGUGUCUUUCGAUCUGAAGUGAGUCUCUUGUAGGCAGCAUAUGUAAGAG